GCGCCCGUAGCUCAGCUGGAUAGAGCAACGGCCUUCUAAGCCGUAGGCCAUAGGUUCGAAUCCUAUCGGGCGCGCCA
rnacentral:tRNA from 13 species